rnacentral:tRNA from 1 species
GGCUGUGAAUGUAGCUCAGUGGUAGAGUGUUUGCCCAGCAUGCUCAAAACCCUGGAUUCAAUCCCAGCACAGUUA